rnacentral:rRNA from 1 species
GACAACGAUGGAUAGGGGUUCUGAGAGGAAGGUCCCCCACAUUGGAACUGAGACACGGUCCAAACUCCUACGGGAGGCAGCAGUGAGGAAUAUUGGUCAAUGGACGAGAGUCUGAACCAGCCAAGUAGCGUGAAGGAUGACUGCCCUAUGGGUUGUAAACUUCUUUUAUAUGGGAAUAAAACGUUCCACGUGUGGAAUUUUGUAUGUACCAUAUGAAUAAGGAUCGGCUAACUCCGUGCCAGCAGCCGCGGUAAUACGGAGGAUCCGAGCGUUAUCCGGAUUUAUUGGGUUUAAAGGGAGCGUAGGUGGAUUGUUAAGUCAGUUGUGAAAGUUUGCGGCUCAACCGUAAAAUUGCAGUUGAAACUGGCAGUCUUGAGUACAGUAGAGGUGGGCGGAAUUCGUGGUGUAGCGGUGAAAUGCUUAGAUAUCACGAAGAACUCCGAUUGCGAAGGCAGCUCACUGGACUGCAACUGACACUGAGGCUCGAAAGUGUGGGUAUCAAACAGGAUUAGAUACCCUGGUAGUCCACACA